UUUAAGGAGGAGGCGGAGGCGAUGUUGCUCUGCUACUGCCGGGGUUCGGCAACAUUGUGGCAAGUCCCCUAUCCUGCCGCAGCUCUGAAUUUCUUCCACAAUAGCAAUAUGCUAUACUUAAACAAACUCAUAGAAAUGAGUACUGAUGCCAGCCAACUCUCAAGCUACCAUAUGAGGAACAAUUAAACAGGCGUUGAAGGGACUCCUUGGUUAUCUUAUUGUGAAAUUAUCUUCCUCGUGCAAAAGAUAUUCAUCAUGAACACAAGAUACUCUGCAGAUGCUGGGGUCAAAGCAACACUCACAACAAGCUGGAGGAACUCAGCAGGUUGGGCAGCAUCUGUGGAAGAGAUCGGUCGACGUUUUGGGCCAGAACCCUUCAUCAGGACUGAAGAGGGAAGGGGCAGAGGCCCU